AUUGAACGCUGGUGGCAGGCCUAACACAUGCAAGUCGAGCGGAUGAGUGGAGCUUGCUCCAUGAUUCAGCGGCGGACGGGUGAGUAAUGCCUAGGAAUCUGCCUGGUAGUGGGGGACAACGUUUCGAAAGGAACGCUAAUACCGCAUACGUCCUACGGGAGAAAGCAGGGGACCUUCGGGCCUUGCGCUAUCAGAUGAGCCUAGGUCGGAUUAGCUAGUAGGUGAGGUAAUGGCUCACCUAGGCGACGAUCCGUAACUGGUCUGAGAGGAUGAGCAGUCACACUGGAACUGAGACACGGUCCAGACUCCUACGGGAGGCAGCAGUGGGGAAUAUUGGACAAUGGGCGAAAGCCUGAUCCAGCCAUGCCGCGUGUGUGAAGAAGGUCUUCGGAUUGUAAAGCACUUUAAGUUGGGAGGAAGGGCAGUAAGUUAAUACCUGGCUGUUUUGACGUUACCAACAGAAUAAGCACCGGCUAACUUCGUGCCAGCAGCCGCCGUAACAC
rnacentral:rRNA from 1 species